ACUGCUCAGUAACACGUGGACAACCUACCCUUGGGAUGGGGAUAAACCCGGGAAACUGGGUAUAAUACCCGAUAGUCCUCGAAUGCUGGAAUGCAUCGAGGUCGAAAGCUCCGGCGCCCAAGGAUGGGUCUGCGGCCUAUCAGGUAGUAGUGGGUGUAAUGGACCUACUAGCCUACAACGGGUACGGGUUGUGAGAGCAAGAGCCCGGAGAUGGAUUCUGAGACACGAAUCCAGGCCCUACGGGGUGCAGCAGGCGCGAAACCUUUACAAUGCUGGCAACAGCGAUAGGGGGACCUCGAGUGCUAGGUUACAAAUCUGGCUGUCGUUGUGUCUAAAAAACACGAUAUAGCAAGGGCCGGGCAAGACCGGUGCCAGCCGCCGCGGUAACACCGGCGGCUCGAGUGGUAACCGCUAUUAUUGGGUUUAAAGGGUCUGUAGCCGGCCUGGUUAGUCCUUUGGGAAAUCCGGCAGCUCAACUGUCGGGCUUCAGAGGAUACUGCCAGGCUCGAGACCGGGAGAGGUAAGAGGUACUUCAGGGGUAGGGGUGAAAUCUUGUAAUCCUUGAAGGACCACCAGUGGCGAAGGCGUCUUACCAGAACGGAUCUGACGGCAAGGGACGAAAGCUAGGGGCACGAACCGGAUUAGAUACCCGGGUAGUCCUAGCCGUAAACGAUACUCGCUAGGUGUCGGCCACGGUGCGACCGUGGUCGGUGCCGUAGGGAAACCGUGAAGCGAGCCACCUGGGAAGUACGGCCGCAAGGCUGAAACUUAAAGGAAUUGGCGGGGGAGCA
rnacentral:rRNA from 1 species